CGCGUAGGUAACCUGCCUUGUAGCGGGGGAUAACUAUUGGAAACGAUAGCUAAUACCGCAUAACAAUUGGUGACACAUGUCAUUUAUUUGAAAGGGGCAAUUGCUCCACUACAAGAUGGACCUGCGUUGUAUUAGCUAGUAGGUGAGGUAACGGCUCACCUAGGCGACGAUACAUAGCCGACCUGAGAGGGUGAUCGGCCACACUGGGACUGAGACACGGCCCAG
rnacentral:rRNA from 1 species